CCCUGAGCUUGUUUGCGCUUGGACAGAAUAGAGCCCAGUUAGUUGAAAGUACUAGAUUAACAUUAUCUAGAUACCAGACUUUUAUGUUGUUUGUUUAUACACAUUUAGCACUUUUAGUAAUUUCACAGAAGCAAAGUUUCCCGUGUGUGUGUGCAUGUUUGCACACCUGUGUGUCCAUGUAAUUUACUCCUCAAUGAUUUGGUAAAGCUUGUGUUUUUGUGUAACUCUCAAGUCAGUGUUGCUGUGGUUUCCAUUUGUUUUUCCCAUCUAGAAUUGGGCGAAAGGCCCUGUUGAUCUGGUCCUAUUUUCAGCUAGCCACGCUGGGCACCUGUACAGCCUUCUCACCCUCCUUCAUGACCUACUGUGUCUUCCGCUUCAUGACAGGCGUGGCAGUAUCUGGGGUGAUCCUCAACGCAGUCUCUCUCAGUGUUACUCUGAGUCUGCCUGCUGGCUCGUGCUAAACUGCAGGUCUGACAAGUCCCUGAUGGUAGAAUGGAUCAUCCUGGAGGUGAGAGGGCUGGGUGUGAGUACAACUAACGAUAUGGGCAUAUUGAGGGGUUCCUGGAAGGGUGAGGUGAUCUUGGAGCUCAGAGAAGGAUUGGAUGACCUGUGUGUGUGUGCGUGUGUGUGUGAUUACAGUUUGUAAUCACACACGCACAUCCUGACACAAUUUGAGGAUGUGGAGGAGAAAUGGUAAGGUCGUGCAGCUGCGACUCUCCAUAUAAUUUACGUCUGUCUCAGACAUGUUUUGGAAUGUGAUGGAAAUGUGUGUUUUCCAGGGCUAAGAAGAAGCCAGGUGCAAAGAAACAGGCUGAAAAGGAUACAGCGGCCCUUCAGGAGAUGAACGAGGGAGCAGUUGAUUGGGAUGGGAAAACCAUUGGGCUUAAUGCUCUGUCAAUGCUCUGUCAGAUGGAAAUAUAAUAUAAGGAGGUAUGACUGUACUGUAUAUUGAGAAUGCUAGCAAACUGUUAUACGUGGGUAUCAAAUUAAAGGCAGAUGCAUACAUUCAACUGGAUAGACACCUAGAUUAUUAAAUUGAAACCAAAAUGGAAACCGAAUAGUUAUCGUGGUAUACAGGAGAUACUGGUGUUUCUUUGCUAAACUAUUGUUUUUCAGAUUAUCUUUGUCUGAAUGGUUUCUUCUGCACAAGGCUGAAAUGAUCAACAGUGAUGCUGUUGACAACUGCUGCCAAUCUCAUAUCAUUGUUACAGUUUGACUCAAUUGUAGCCUUUUUUGUUAUAUGCAGUUUUUAUUUAAAAUGGAUAGAUAAAUAAUAAAUAAGGCACUGUAGGACAUUUAUGACUUCAGCAUGCAGUUUAUGGUGCUUGUUUUGAUUACCUUUGUUGCAUUGUGGAACUAUUUUGGAUUGGACAUUAUAGCAAAAUGUUUAGAUCUUGAAAAUGUGUUGGUAGCCUAGGCCACACAUGACAUUGUUUUGAAUUAUUGUGGUUUAAUACAAAAUAAACAGUAGGCCUAUAUGGUU